rnacentral:rRNA from 1 species
AACGAACGCUGGCGGCAGGCUUAACACAUGCAAGUCGAGCGCAUCCUUCGGGAUGAGCGGCGGACGGGUUAGUAACGCGUGGGAACGUGCCCUUCUCUACGGAAUAGCCCAGGGAAACUUGGAUUAAUACCGUAUACGCCCUUCGGGGGAAAGAUUUAUCGGAGAAGGAUCGGCCCGCGUCUGAUUAGGUAGUUGGUGGGGUAAUGGCCUACCAAGCCGACGAUCAGUAGCUGGUUUGAGAGGAUGAUCAGCAACACUGGGACUGAGACACGGCCCAGACUCCUACGGGAGGCAGCAGUGGGGAAUCUUAGACAAUGGGGGAAACCCUGAUCUAGCCAUGCCGCGUGAGUGAUGAAGGCCUUAGGGUCGUAAAGCUCUUUCACCAGGGAAGAU